GCCGGAAUGAGGUGGGCUGGGGGCUGAGGGCAGACACAGCUUGUGGCAGGUGUUACAGCUUUAAAGUCCAAACUGGAAAAGCAUCCUCUUGGGGACCAGCAGGAGUUAGUGCUGCAGGAGGAGGUAACCCAGAGGGACACAGGGCUGAUGGUGCCCCACCCCAGCCCUGUUUCUCAGGGCACAGUGCUCCUGCCACUCCUCAGAGCACUGCUUAGCCCCAUGGAGAGGCAGCUUCUGACAGGGAAGGAGUAAGCUAUGGGCCACUUUUCCUCUGCUCCAUGGCAUGGUUUUCCCUGCUGAAUCUCUUUCCUCCCUUCACAGGCAGUGGGAGCUCAGUGGAGACCCAGAGCAGCUCUCAUGGUCUCUGCAGAAGGCCUGCUCUUGCAGAGCUGCCCAUAGCCUUGCCCCGGGCAUGGUCAGUGGUGAUUUUACCCCUUCCCUCUCUGCUUCUUCCAGCUCCUUUAGUGCCCUGACCUGAGUCACUGCCUGGCACUGCUGGGACUGUCUCCUCCAUGCAUCCAGUCUCUCAUCCUCACCAGUACCAGAAGUGGGAAGCACACUCAGUGUGGGGACACGCUGCUUGGGGCAUUUGAUACCUCACUGGCCUGGAUGAGAGGGGCAGAUCCUUGCAAAGCAUUAAACUCAGAAACAGGUUACAUUAUGCAGGUUAAAACCCUCCAAUAACACCUUCCCAAAUCUCAAUGUGGUAACAACACCCCAAAAUGCCUCCUGCUCUUGUGAGCCAGAGCCCUGCUGCUCACUGGGCCUGGCUCUGCAUGCUGCCGCUGCGCUCCGACAUUAACCUACUAACCCGCUGGGACCCUGUGCCCUCACCGGGGGCUGGCACAGCGCUGGCACACGGACUAACCCACUAACUGGCCCCAGUGCAUGCCCUACUAACCCACAGCCAGCCCUGCCUCGUGCCCACUAACUGUGGCAGCAGUGCUGCCUUUAAAGGGGAACGGAAAAGCUGGGAAAGGAGGUUUGGAAGUGCCAGGUGUCAGUGCCAGGCUGUACAGGCAGGGACGGGCAGGGGCAGCCCCAGCUCUGGGCAGGAGAGGGGACUGGCAGCCCCUGCCCCAGGCAGGAGCAUUGGGACGUGUCCAU